rnacentral:rRNA from 1 species
UGGGGAAUUUUGGACAAUGGGCGAAAGCCUGAUCCAGCAAUGCCGCGUGUGUGAAGAAGGCCUUCGGGUUGUAAAGCACUUUUGUCCGGAAAGAAAUCCUUGGCUCUAAUACAGUCGGGGGAUGACGGUACCGGAAGAAUAAGCACCGGCUAACUACGUGCCAGCAGCCGCGGUAAUACGUAGGGUGCAAGCGUUAAUCGGAAUUACUGGGCGUAAAGCGUGCGCAGGCGGUUUGCUAAGACCGAUGUGAAAUCCCCGGGCUCAACCUGGGAACUGCAUUGGUGACUGGCAGGCUAGAGUAUGGCAGAGGGGGGUAGAAUUCCACGUGUAGCAGUGAAAUGCGUAGAGAUGUGGAGGAAUACCGAUGGCGAAGGCAGCCCCCUGGGCCAAUACUGACGCUCAUGCACGAAAGCGUGGGGAGCAAACAGGAUUAGAUACCCUGGUAGUCCACGCCCUAAACGAUGUCAACUAGUUGUUGGGGAUUCAUUUCCUUAGUAACGUAGCUAACGCGUGAAGUUGACCGCCUGGGGAGUACGGUCGCAAGAUUAAAACUCGAAUGAAUUGACGGGGUCAUAGCUGUUCCU